rnacentral:rRNA from 1 species
UAGCGUAAUCACUUGUUCUUUAAUUGAGGACUAGUAUGAACGGCCCCACGAGGACUACACUGUCUCCUUUUUCUAAUCAAUGAAACUGAUCUCCUCGUGAAGAAGCGAGGAUGAAUAUAUAAGACGAGAAGACCCUAUGGAGCUUUAAACAACCGGAGUACUUGCUAUUCAUUUUAUAUCUUCUGAGAACUAAACAAAUUAAAGCAUCUUACUCCCAAGUUUUAGGUUGGGGUGACCACGGAGAAAAAAUUAACCUCCACGCUGUAAGAAGUUCACCAUCUUCUAAGCUUAGAGUCACAUCUCCAAGCAUCAACACAUUGACUCCCAUUGACCCAAUAAUUUGAUCAACGAACCAAGUUACCCUAGGGAUAACAGCGCAAUCUACUUUAAGAGCUCAUAUCGACAAGUAGGUUUACGACCUCGAUGUU